rnacentral:rRNA from 1 species
CCUACGGGAGGCAGCAGUGGGGAAUAUUACACAAUGGGGGAAACCCUGAUGCAGCGACGCAGCGUGAGUGAGGAAGUAUUUCGGUAUGUAAAGCUCUAUCAGCAGGGAAGAAAAUGACGGUACCUGACUAAGAAGCCCCGGCUAACUACGUGCCAGCAGGCGCGGUAAUACGGAGGGGGCAAGCGUUAUCCGGAUUUACUGGGUGUAAAGGGGGCGCAGGCGGCAAUGCAAGCCAGGAGUGAAAGCCCGGGGCCCAACCCCUGGACUGGUGUUGAAACUGCAUGGCUGGAGUACAGGAGGGGCAGGCGGAAUUCGUGGUGUAGCGGUGAAAUGCGUAGAUAUUAGGAGGAACACCGGUGGCGAAGGCGGCCUGCUGGACUGUGACUGACGUUGAGGCCCGAAGGCGUGGGGAGCAAACAGGAUUAGAUACCCCGGUAGUC